CAGUCGCCGCGGGAAUACAGAGGGUGCAAGCGUUAAUCGGAAUUACUGGGCGUAAAGCGCGCGUAGGUGGUUCGCCAAGUUGGAUGUGAAAUCCCCGGGCUCAACCUGGGAACUGCAUCCAAAACUGGCGAGCUAGAGUAUGGUAGAGGGUGGUGGAAUUUCCUGUGUAGCGGUGAAAUGCGUAGAUAUAGGAAGGAACAUCAGUGGCGAAGGCGACCACCUGGACUGAUACUGACACUGAGGUGCGAAAGCGUGGGGAGCAAACAGGAUUAGAGACCCGCGUAGUCCCUGUCUCUUAUAC
rnacentral:rRNA from 1 species